AGCAGCCGCGGUAAUUCCAGCUCCAAUAGCGUAUAUUAAAGUUGUUGCAGUUAAAAAGCUCGUAGUUGAAUUUCGGGGUUCUACCGUUGGUCGGGCUAACCAGUCUGUACUAGCGUGUAGAAUUCCUACCUUCUGGGGAACCAUCAUGUUAUUAAUUUAGCGUGGUGGGAAACCAGGACCUUUACCUUGAAAAAAUUAGAGUGUUCAAAGCAGGCUUACGUCUGAAUACAUUAGCAUGGAAUAAUAAAAUAGGACGGUGGUCCUGUUUUGUUGGUUUCUGAAUCACCGUAAUGAUUAAUAGGGAUAGUUGGGGGCAUUAGUAUUCAAUUGUCAGAGGCGAAAUUCUUGGAUUUAUUGAAGACUAACUUCUGCGAAAGCAUUUGCCAAGGAUGUUUUCAUUAAUCAAGAACGAAAGUUAGGGGAUCGAAGACGAUCAGAUACCGUCGUAGUCUUAACCAUAAACUAUGCCGACUAGGGAUCGGACGAUGUUAAAUUUUAUUGACUCGUUCGGCGCCUUACG
rnacentral:rRNA from 1 species